GUAUUGGCGGAAUUUGGUAGACGCGGUGGACUUAAAAUUCACUCCUAAUGGGUGUCGGUUCGAGUCCGACAU
rnacentral:ncRNA from 11 species